GUAAACUUAGUAUAAUAUAAUAUAUUGGAUUUAGGUUUCAAAGAUUUUUUGUUUACU
rnacentral:tRNA from 1 species